rnacentral:rRNA from 1 species
CAACAUGAGAGUUUGAUCCUGGCUCAGAACGAACGCUGGCGGCAGGCUUAACACAUGCAAGUCGAGCGCCCCGCAAGGGGAGCGGCAGACGGGUGAGUAACGCGUGGGAACGUACCCUUUACUACGGAAUAACGCAGGGAAACUUGUGCUAAUACCGUAUGUGCCCUUCGGGGGAAAGAUUUAUCGGUAAAGGAUCGGCCCGCGUUGGAUUAGCUAGUUGGUGGGGUAAAGGCCUACCAAGGCGACGAUCCAUAGCUGGUCUGAGAGGAUGAUCAGCCAC